GAUCAACUUCUUUGUAACGGUUAUGGUC
rnacentral:piRNA from 1 species